CCUACGGGUGGCUGCAGUGGGGAAUAUUGCACAAUGGGCGCAAGCCUGAUGCAGCCAUGCCGCGUGUGUGAAGAAGGCCUUCGGGUUGUAAAGCACUUUCAGCGGGGAGGAAGGCGGUGAGGUUAAUAACCUCAUCGAUUGACGUUACCCGCAGAAGAAGCACCGGCUAACUCCGUGCCAGCAGCCGCGGUAAUACGGAGGGUGCAAGCGUUAAUCGGAAUUACUGGGCGUAAAGCGCACGCAGGCGGUCUGUCAAGUCGGAUGUGAAAUCCCCGGGCUCAACCUGGGAACUGCAUUCAAAACUGGCAGGCUAGAGUCUUGUAGAGGGGGGUAGAAUUCCAGGUGUAGCGGUGAAAUGCGUAGAGAUCUGGAGGAAUACCGGUGGCGAAGGCGGCCCCCUGGACAAAGACUGACGCUCAGGUGCGAAAGCGUGGGGAGCAAACAGGAUUAGAUACCCCAGUAGUC
rnacentral:rRNA from 1 species